GCCCAUAAGACUGGGAUAACCCACGGAAACGUGAGCUAAUACCAGAUAGGCAUUUUCCUCGCAUGAGGGAGAUGAGAAAGGCGGAGCAAUCUGCCACUUAUGGAUGGACCUGCGGCGCAUUAGCUAGUUGGUAAGGUAACGGCUUACCAAGGCGACGAUGCGUAGCCGACCUGAGAGGGUGAUCGGCCACACUGGGACUGAGACACGGCCCAGACUCCUACGGGAGGCAGCAGUAGGGAAUCUUCCGCAAUGGACGAAAGUCUGACGGAGCAACGCCGCGUGAGUGAUGAAGGUUUUCGGAUCGUAAAGCUCUGUUGCCAGGGAAGAACGCCUAUGAGAGUAACUGCUCUUAGGGUGACGGUACCUGAGAAGAAAGCCCCGGCUAACUACGUGCCAGCAGCCGCGGUAAUACGUAGGGGGCGAGCGUUGUCCGGAAUUAUUGGGCGUAAAGCGCGCGCAGGCGGCAAUGUAAGUUGGGUGUUUAAACCUAGGGCUCAACCUUGGGUCGCAUCCAAAACUGCAUAGCUUGAGUACAGAAGAGGAAAGUGGAAUUCCACGUGUAGCGGUGAAAUGCGUAGAGAUGUGGAGGAACACCAGUGGCGAAAGCGACUUUCUGGGCUGUAACUGACGCUGAGGCGCGAA
rnacentral:rRNA from 1 species